rnacentral:lncRNA from 1 species
GCCGGGAGGGCAAGAUGGCCGCUGGAGCCGGCGGCUGCUGGAGUCAAGAUGGCUGCCGGGAUGCUGGGGGCCAAGAUGGCCGCCGGCUACGGGGGUCCGCGGGGGUUCAGAUGGCGGCCGAGGAGGCGGCGUGGUCCGGGUUAAGAUGGCCGCCGGGGGUGGCGGGUGUUGGGGACAAGAUGGCCGCCAGCAGGGGUGUCUGUUGGGGACAAGAUGGCCGCCGAGGCGGGUGGGUGUUGGGGACAAGAUGGCCGCCAGCAGGGGUGUCCAUUGGGGACAAGAUGGCCGAAGGGGGUGGGAGGAAGAGGAAGGCGCUGAGGUGAGGUUGAGGCAAGAUGGCCGCUGGGUGUGACGUCACGGGGUUCAAGAUGGCCGCUGGGUGUGACGUCACCGGGUUCAAGAUGGCCGCUGGGUGUGACGUCAUGGGGUUCAAAAUGGCCGCCAGGUGUGACGUCACAGCAUUCAACAUGGCCGCCUUGUAUGACAUCACGGGGUUCAAGAUGGCCGCCAGGCCUGAGGCACGCUGGGAACAAGAUGGCUGCCGCUUAUGAUGUCACUCAAGAUGGCCACCGCUUCCUGUGACAUAACGGGGAUCAAGAUGGCUGCCGGCUGUGACGUCACCUCGUUCAAGAUGGCCGCCGGUGUGACAUCACUUCCUUCAAGAUGGCCGCCGGUGUGACGUCACAGGGUUCAAGAUGGCCACCGGUGUGACGUCACAAGGCUCAGUGUCACAGCUCUGACGUCACUCCCGGCCUCCAGCGGCCAUCUUGGUGGCGGCCAUCUUGGGGGACCGCUGAGCUCAGGCAGUCAGAGGGCAGCAGGGCGGCCAUCUUGGUGGUCGGCCAUCUUGAAACGUCAGCCAUCUUGGGUGUCAGCCAUCUUGGAGGUCCGCCAUCUUAGGAUGGAUGUCGGCCAUGUUCAAGUGUUGGCCAUGUUGGAUGUCGGCCAUCUUGGAUGUUGAACAUUUGGGUGUCGGCCAUCUUCAAAUGGCGGCCAUCUUGGACAUUGGCCAUCUCCAAUUGUCAACCAUCUUGGAUGUCGGCCAUCUUGUACUGUCGGCCAUUUGGAUGUUGGCCAUCUUAGACGUUGGCCAUCUUGGGACGUCGGCCAUCUUGAGUGGUCGGCCAUUUUGGACAUCGGCCAUCUUAGAUGUGAGCCAUCUUCAACUGCCGGCCAUCUUGGACGUUGCCCAUAUCAAACUGUCAACCAUCUUGCAUGUCGGCCAUCUUGAACAUCAGCCAUCUUGUAAUGUUGGCCAUUUUGGAUGUCGGCCAUCUUAGAUGCGAGCUAUCUUCGA